rnacentral:misc_RNA from 1 species
UGGCGAGUUGCCGACGGCGUCGCCUAAACAGCGCCGGGACCAGUGCAUUUCACGUUUGGCGAAGACUUAUCGAAACGUCGCCGUUCACCGUUGUUCCCGUCAACGACCCAACUCACCGGAGCGGUGCGACAACUCGAGGAGAACAUCAUGAAACUUGCACGUAUCGCACGGGCGGCCGCCGUGGCGGCACUGUCAGGAGCGACGGCAUUGGCUGUCGGCGGACUCGUGCAGCCCGCAGUCGCGUACGCAGUGUGGGAUAUCGAGUUCUACGACCUAU